GUGGACGCCGUUUUCGUCAAGCAUCCUCGCUGUCCAGAACGCACCCAGCCAGCCAGCAAACCGGGGGGGUGAAAAUCUGGUACGUCGAGCACGAAUGAACUACUUUAUUCGUUAGCCGCGGACCUCCAAGGAAUGUGCUCCUUCUGACGGUGGUUAAUCCCGAAAAGAGAGGAAGAGAAGAAGAAAAAAACCGCUUCCAAAAAUCUGUCUACUGACUCGAAGAGGUUCUUUAAAAGCGUAACAUGGUACUCUCCACAAUCUCGCAUUUCCCCCAGUUGUCCAGUUUAGCCCGGUUGCCACACACAGGCAGCAGGGCUGAACUGCCGCGAAAGAGCCUAUCUGUCCAAUCGCAUUACUUGGAAGGAAGACGGCCACAUCUGCCUAUCGGAGAGCGACGGCCCCACGUGGGGCGCAACGGUACAUGACAUCAUCCCGCAGGAUCCACGAGGCAUCGGCCGCCCGUCCCACCGUGGCCGUGAUUUGCGAGCUAAUCUGGGUUUGUCUCCCCUGAUUCCAAGUCUUCCGCUCCUUGGGGAGCCUGCUAAUGGGACAGUGGAGCAGAGCCACCAUGCAGCAGAAGUCCUCUCAGCUCACAGCGCUGACAUCCAUCUCCCUGAUCACACAGAGAGGAAGAACAAUGCUGACUUUAUUUUGCUGCGUGCUCACUCGUGCAGGCAUGCACGCACGCACACCAAGCAAUCCGCACACAUUUGGCAAGAAGAAAAUGUCGAAUAAAUUAAGUGUUGCCUAUA